rnacentral:rRNA from 1 species
UGGCAGACGGGUGAGUAAUGUAUAGGAAUCUACCUAGUAGUACGGAAUAAUUGUUGGAAACGGCAACUAAUACCGUAUACGCCCUACGGGGGAAAAAUUUAUUGCUAUUAGAUGAGCCUAUAUUAGAUUAGCUAGUUGGUGGAGUAAUAGCCUACCAAGGCAAUGAUCUAUAGCUGAUCUGAGAGGAUGAUCAGCCACACUGGAACUGAGAUACGGUCCAGACUCCUACGGGAGGCAGCAGUGGGGAAUAUUGGACAAUGGGCGAAAGCCUGAUCCAGCCAUGCCGCAUGAGUGAAGAAGGCCUUUGGGUUGUAAAGCUCUUUUAGUGAGGAAGAUAAUGACGGUACUCACAGAAGAAGUCCUGGCUAACUCCGUGCCAGCAGCCGCGGUAAUACAGAGAGGGCUAGCGUUGUUCG